GAGUCAGUCCCAAGAGCAUGAGGGGAAAGGCUCUUGAAGGGGGAGAGCCCCAAGGCUGCAAGUACAGUAGGUUCUCAGAGCAGGAUCUCUGAGGUAAGCAGGUUUCAGUCCUGUAAAGAGCAACUGCCCUGGGACCAUCCGAAGAGAAGAUGGAGUGGAGGGCCAGUGAGAAAUCCCAGCACUUUGCUCCUGAGAAAGCUGUUCUGGAGGCCAGCAGAUGGGAAAUGUCAUGACCAAGAGGAAAAUGAAUGAGCACAAGUGUGGUUUUGGUGUCAGUUAUCACCAAGUUUGACACAGCCCAUGAGAAAGCAGGAGGAAUUACGUGAGAAGAGUUUACCUGGCUGCACAGAUGUUCUUGGACAUCAGAAGGAGCUGCCUUCCAUCUUACCAUGUGUUUAUUCAACAGCUUGGGGCAUUCCCACCUGCUGCGGUGAGAGAAAACAGAUUCUGAGAUCAGAACUGCUCCUUCCUGAAAGCCUGGCAGAGACAUCAAUACAAGCACCAAAGAUGAUACCACUACAGUCCUGAUUUGGGCUAUACUGCUCAGGAUUUUCUCCUGCAUGUCAUUUACGCUCUUCUUAUCCACUGCUGGCGAUGAUGGGGGUAUGAAUCACAUUCCUGCAGCUGGUAAUUUUAGAAACACUGCAUGGGAAUGCUGCUAAAUAUAGAGAGGGGUGAGUAAAAGGCCUUCCUCUUAUCAGGCAUCUGUGUAGGUUCUUGGCAUCUCACAGGUACAGGUUGUAUUGUUGCUGAUUUAAGGCUCUGGAGAACCUUUGAUGAAGCCAUGCCUGUCCAUCACAGAGAAGAAAGCUGCCUGGGGCCAGCAGAACAUUACAGAGGCUGAGAGGUCUCCCAGGGCCCAGCAGCAUAUUGGCAUUUUGUCAGGUAGGACUCUGCCCAUGAGCACUAACACUGAAGGUUUAAUUUGAGAUCUGCUCUGUGUCGUUUACACGGAUCUCCAGGCUAAGCAGGAAGGAAGAAACACUUGUGUUUGCAUCCACAAGCUGAGGGGUAAAACACACAAGCUGCAGUGGGUGGAGGAGAAGAAGUAGACAGUGUAGACCUCUAGGCAGCACAUGAGAGUACAAGGCUGCCCAACAGGGAGAAUUUAAAACACCAUUAAAGGCCAAGUGAAUGAACCUAUUAUGCAGCUCAUGCCUCACAGCUUGACUGUGAGGACUUAGGUUGCCAUCAAGACAUGAUGCUGCAAAGAUCCUUUGGGACAUCAGCAGUUGUAACUCAUCUCAAAUCAUAGGGAACAAGGAGGAAUUCUGCCACUACUAUGUCUUUGAAGAAAACCAGGACUCCAUUAAGAUGGUCUCUCUAUAAGUGAAGGGUUUCUGCCCUGUUAGCCCACUGAAAGGCCUUGCAGAGCUGUAUGGGGGCAGGAGAGACAGCAGGAAGGUGAAGGCAGGGCAGCAGGAAGGUGAAGGCAGGAUCUUCCAGUCAGUAGGACUGAACAGAAAGGGAGUGAGAGUAAGAAUAAACUUCCAUGUGUCCCUGCAGUGCCAAGUCAUGCAGCUUUAUUGCUGCAAAGCCACAGCCCACUUUUGCCGGCAAUUGAAGAGAAAUUCCAAAGUUUCCAUGUUCAACAGCUUUGGUUUUCUUCAGGAGCAAGAAGUCACCCUGGGGUGAGCUCCCACAAGGGUUUCUUCAUCUCUCUACAUGUAAAGGGAGUUGGAGAAUUAUUGUUUUCCCUUGUAUUUUUUACCUAGAUUUUUUGUUUUCACUUUUUCAGAUUUUCCCCUGAAGACCCAAAGUACAUUCCUUUGCCAAGUACAACCAAGCAAAUGUCAGCGUUUUCCUAAAAAAUGUCCUUUCCCAAAAUGGUUUUCUGCCCCCAAAACGUCAGUGGAAUUAUUUGAACCAGUUCCAUUUAUACUGGCAGAAAAAACCCCAACAAGAUGCCAAUAUACAUCUCCAUGCAAAUGACAUCUUGCAGCCCUGUGAUAACCAAGACUUGGAACAUUCUUGUACAUGGAAAGAGAAAAGAAAUGGUGCGUGUGCCUGUGUUCCAAGGGUGACAGAAAGGAGACCCCAUACAGAACAGGCCUUACAAGCCAGAGCAGAAGAGAGCUUUCAUCUUUUUCCAAACAGAAAAGAGUCUGCAUAUCAACUGUAGAACAGAGCUGCGUCGUUCAUGCUUCUCCUUAAAGAAGAUAUUUCUCCAGUCAGGAUGCCAGCUGCAAGGAGCCGCGCUGGGAAUGACAAUGGCCUAUGCAAAUACAAAGCAUCAGCCAUAAAGGCGCUCCAGAACAGCCGCCCCACUCAAAGAGCUGCGGGCAGCACAGC